GGGCAAAAGUUUGGCAAGUCUUUGGCAAAACUUGGAUUCAGGAGACAUCAAAGUUUAACUCAAGUUUUACCCAACUCUUGCCA
rnacentral:pre_miRNA from 1 species